rnacentral:rRNA from 1 species
AGUGAACGCUGGCGGUAGGCCUAACACAUGCAAGUCGAACGGCAGCACAGUAAGAGCUUGCUCUUACGGGUGGCGAGUGGCGGACGGGUGAGGAAUACAUCGGAAUCUACUUUUUCGUGGGGGAUAACGUAGGGAAACUUACGCUAAUACCGCAUACGACCUACGGGUGAAAGCAGGGGAUCUUCGGACCUUGCGCGAUUGAAUGAGCCGAUGUCGGAUUAGCUAGUUGGCGGGGUAAAGGCCCACCAAGGCGACGAUCCGUAGCUGGUCUGAGAGGUUGAUCAGCCACACUGGAACUGAGACACGGUCCAGACUCCUACGGGAGGCGGCAGUGGGGAAUAUUGGACAAUGGGGGCAAGCCUGAUCCAGCCAUACCGCGUGGGUGAAGAAGGCCUUCGGGUUGUAAAGCCCUUUUGUUGGGAAAGAAAAGCGGCAGGUUAAUACCCCGCUGUUCUGACGGUACCCAAAGAAUAAGCACCGGCUAACUUCGUG